CUGCAGAGCUCUUCUCUCCCCGCCUCUCAGCUGAUCGGCGGGUGGGCGGGGCUUCCAGAGAGGCCUCCCAGUAGGCCUCCCUGAAGCCUGAACUCGAGUAGGCCCCAAGCAAGGAGGGAGGAAGCAGGCAGCAGACCCUCUGCCCAGACCAGCCCAUCCAGAACAGCUAUUGCUAGGGAUGGGAAGUGCACUCCUGUCAGGAUAUGCCAGUACUCAUGCAGCUGAACUUGGCUCUAAGCCUCCUUGAUUAGGAUUUCUGCAUUAAGACAAAAAGGGCUUUGGAGAAGCGAGCCAGAUGCAGCGUUGGAUAUGCCAGUAUUCAUGCAGCUUGGCUCUGCAUAUUGAAAACGAGCAUAUCUCCUAGCAUCCAACUGCUUUGAGGACAGCUACAUCAAUUGUCCAAGCAAGAGAGGACACGGUAGACUGGGUCCUUUGUUUCCUCCACCAAUGUGGAAUCUGUUCGAUAGAACACUGAAUGGCGAUGAUCGCACUAACAACCAUACCGCUGCUCAUAGUCGCUCGGAGGCUGCUCAUAGUCGCCUCCGAGCUGAAUUUGGAACGUGCCAUCCUACGAUCUGAAAGUUCAUUGAUGGCCUCAGAAAAGUGCAGAAGGGCAGAACAGCUCAUUUCAGACCACAGUCCUCCGGUCAAGUAGAAGAAAUACAGCAGAGCUGAUGAGCGUCUUUCAAAGAUUGUGUCCAAUUACGGCAAUAGAAGCCGCAUAGAAUAUUUGUGUGCCAUAGCUCACAAUUAUCAAAUAGCUUAACAAAAAUGUUCUUUGAUGUUUUACUAGUGCAUUUUUGUCACAUCAAGCAGAAAUGGGUCUAGGACAGUUCAGCUUGGUGCGUUGUUGUUCAUACAUUUUAUCAUCCAUGUAGCAUUGUUAUUUCCAGAGCUUGCAUAGCAUUAGCAUUUUAUUGCACUAUGGAAUUCCAUGCUAGUGUUUGGCUCUCCUUGUAAUUGGUGUGGUUUUCCAAAUUUGAGGGGCUGUUUAUGAACACUUACAGUUUCAUAAUUGGCUGUUAUUCUUAUGUCUAAAUUUACAGUGUUUGCUUGAAGUUAUAACUGUUUUUACACAAAUGAUUUGUAUGCAAACUCUAUGAUAAUGGGGGGAGGGGUUAUAGUCAUGCAGUUAUAUGGGCCUAUAAGUGGUGGUGGUUUGUUUAGUGUGGCUACUUAUUGAUUACUAGCAAAAUGCUAGUCUAGUCCCUGACCUCAUUCAAGAGGGCUGUACAAAUAUUGACCUUUCAUUAGGCUUUUAAUUUACUUUGUUUUUAGUCCCCUGUUUUAAGUUUAACUUGAUUUGUAUCAUUUGUGUUUUAGCAUGUUGGACCAAAUAUUUUCAUAUAACUGUUUAUGGGUUUGUUUACCCUUUUUGUGAGCUGCCUUCUGAUGUAUUGUAUCCCAGAGGUAGGAGGAGACAUCCUAUUAAACUCAAAUUCAAAUAAAGUAAUAA